rnacentral:sRNA from 1 species
CAACUGAAUAUUGCUUCUCAAGGGUGGAGGCAUUUCAUCCCCAUUGAAAGGGGGUGAGGCCAAUGACCGUGUUUGAAUCACUUAUGCUUAUGGUUGCAUUUGCGACACUGGUAGUUGUGAUACUUACGGCUAACAAUAAAAAAUAAUCCACCCUUACUCUAGAGAAGCUGGGUGGAUCUUGCCAAAUGUAUGAUCUGCCGCCCCUUGAAGGGCAGUUCUUUUGCAUCCCGGUGUUGUUACCAGCAACAUCG